rnacentral:misc_RNA from 1 species
GAUGAAGAACGUAGCGAAAUGCGAUAAGUAAUGUGAAUUGCAGAAUUCAGUGAAUCAUCGAAUCUUUGAACGCACAUUGCGCCCCUUGGUAUUCCGAGGGGCAUGCCUGUUCGAGCGUCAUUAUAACCCCCCAAGCUUAGCUUGGUGUUGGGGCUUGCUGUAAUAGAGCAGCCCUUAAAAUCAGUGGCGGUGCCAUUAGGCUCUAAGCGUAGUAAUUCUUCUCGCUAUAGGGUUCUGGUGGAUGCUUGCCAUUAACCUCUAAUUUUCUAUGGUUGACCUCGGAUCAGGUAGGGAUACCCGCUGAACUUAAGCAUAUCAAUAAGCGGAGGA